GAUGAACGCUGGCGGCGUGCCUAAUACAUGCCAGUCGAGCGAACAGAUGAGGAGCUUGCUCCUCUGACGUUAGCGGCGGACGGGUGAGUAACACGUGGGUAACCUACCUAUAAGACUGGGAUAACUUCGGGAAACCGGAGCUAAUACCGGAUAAUAUAUUGAACCGCAUGGUUCAAUAGUGAAAGACGGUUUUGCUGUCACUUAUAGAUGGAUCCGCGCCGCAUUAGCUAGUUGGUAAGGUAACGGCUUACCAAGGCAACGAUGCGUAGCCGACCUGAGAGGGUGAUCGGCCACACUGGAACUGAGACACGGUCCAGACUCCUACGGGAGGCAGCAGUAGGGAAUCUUCCGCAAUGGGCGAAAGCCUGACGGAGCAACGCCGCGUGAGUGAUGAAGGUCUUCGGAUCGUAAAACUCUGUUAUUGGGGAAGAAAAAAUGUGUAAGAAUCUAUGCACGUCUUGACGGUACCUAAUCAGAAAGCCACGGCUAACUACGUG
rnacentral:rRNA from 1 species